AGCACUGUUAAAGCAAUCAUCUACAUUGGAACUGGAGAAGUCCAUAUGCACUUUCCCUCAUAGAAGGUACGCCGCUAUUUCACUGACCCUAAUUAUAUCAUUGAAGACUCUAAGCAGGUCAGAAGAAAACGACGCAACCGCAACCUGAGGAUGGAAAUUAUCAAGAACGGAUGGGCAGACUAUUAAGGAGAAGUGGUAAGGUCAGAAGACAUACAGUUUAAACAGAAUUAUCCAGAGGAGACCGUAGCACCGAGUCAGGUGUGGAAAGAGAAGAUAACUAUACAUGAAGAGGAGGCGCUGCCGGAAGCACCAACUACGCCACCCAACGAAUCCCAGGACAACUGUGAGAAAACGGAGAGUCCUGUUAGGAGGACUUAAAAACACCGAACGCCUUGCCAAGAGGUAAACUUGAUAGUUAUCCUUUCCCUUUCAAAUAUUUGAAUAGUUUACUUAGUUAAUUAUGUUCAUACUAUCCUAAAAAGAAAAUAAAAAUGUUAAAAAAUAGUAAGCCCCAUGUG
rnacentral:lncRNA from 1 species